UACGAAGGGGGCUAGCGUUGCUCGGAAUUACUGGGCGUAAAGGGCGCGUAGGCGGGUUUUUAAGUCAGGGGUGAAAUCCUGGAGCUCAACUCCAGAACUGCCUUUGAUACUGAAGAUCUUGAGUCCGGGAGAGGUGAGUGGAACUGCGAGUGUAGAGGUGAAAUUCGUAGAUAUUCGCAAGAACACCAGUGGCGAAGGCGGCUCACUGGCCCGGUACUGACGCUGAGGUGCGAAAGCGUGGGGAGCAAACAGG
rnacentral:rRNA from 1 species